GGAAUAUUGGACAAUGGGGGAAACCCUGAUCCAGCAAUGCCGCGUGUGUGAAGAAGGCCUUAGGGUUGUAAAGCACUUUCAAUAGUGAGGAAGGCAUGUAGUCGAAUAGGCUAUAUGAUUGACGUUAGCUAUAGAAGAAGCACCGGCUAACUCUGUGCCAGCAGCCGCGGUAAUACAGAGGGUGCGAGCGUUAAUCGGAAUUACUGGGCGUAAAGGGCACGUAGGUUGUUUUUUAAGUUGGAUGUGAAAGCCCUGGGCUCAACCUGGGAAUGGCAUUCAAAACUGGAAGACUAGAGUAUGGUAGAGGGAAGCGGAAUUUCCGGUGUAGCGGUGAAAUGCGUAGAUAUCGGAAGGAACAUCAGUGGCGAAGGCGGCUUCCUGGACUAAUACUGACACUGAGGUGCGAAAGCGUGGGUAGCGAA
rnacentral:rRNA from 1 species